rnacentral:rRNA from 1 species
CCUGGUUGAUCCUGCCAGUAGUCAUAUGCUUGUCUCAAAGAUUAAGCCAUGCAAGUCUAAGUACGAGCUCUCGUACAGUGAAACUGCGAAUGGCUCAUUAAAUCAGUUAUGGUUCAUUUGAUCGUACAGUUUACUUGGAUAACUGUGGUAAUUCUAGAGCUAAUACAUGCGAGAAGCGCCGACCUCGCGGGAGGCGUGCAUUUAUCAGACCAAAAACCGGCCGCGUCUUCGGGCGCGUUCGCCUUGGUGACUCUGGAUAACUUUGCGGAUCGCACGGUCUAGCACCGGCGACGGAUCAUUCAAGUGUCUGCCCUAUCAACUUUCGUCGGUACGGUAUUUGCCUACCGAGGUUCUUACGGGUGACGGGGAGCCUGAGAAACGGCUACCACAUCCAAGGAAGGCAGCAGGCGCGCAAAUUACCCAUUCCCGACGCGGGGAGGUAGUGACGAAAAAUAACAAUGCAGGACUCGUUCGAGGCCCUGUAAUUGGAAUGAGUACACUUUAAAAGCUUUAACGAGUAUCCAUUGGAGGGCAAGUCUGGUGCCAGCAGCCGCGGUAAUUCCAGCUCCAAAAGUAUAUAUUUAAGUUGUUGCGGUUAAAAAGCUCGUAGUUGGAUUUUGGGCGCAGGCGGCCGGUCCGUCGCAAGGCGUGUACUGGACGUCCUGGCCUUCCCUCCGGUUCUCCGCCGGUGCUCUUGACUGAGUGUCGGCGGCGGCCGGAACGUUUACUUUGAAAAAAUUAGAGUGUUCAAAGCAGGCUCUCGAGCCUGGAUAAUGGUGCAUGGAAUAAUGGAAUAGGACCUCGGUUCUAUUUUGUUGGUUUUCGGAGCGCGAGGUAAUGAUUAAGAGGGACAGACGGGGGCAUUCGUACUGUGCCGUUAGAGGUGAAAUUCUUGGAUCGGCGCAAGACGAACGACUGCGAAAGCAUUUGCCAAGAAUGUUUUCUUUAAUCAAGAGCGAAAGUCAGAGGUUCGAAGACGAUCAGAUACCGUCCUAGUUCUGACUAUAAACGAUGCCAACUAGCGAUCGGGGGGCGUUACAUUGACGACCCCUCCGGCAGCUUACGGGAAACCAAAGUCUUUGGGUUCCGGGGGAAGUAUGGUUGCAAAGCUGAAAC